AGUCCUAUAUAUGGGAGUCUGUGUACAGUCUGAGAGGAAGUGUAAGCUUCGACCGCACCUGAUCUGGGUAAUGCCAGCGUAGGGAAUUAUGCAAGAGAAAUCA
rnacentral:ncRNA from 1 species